UGGGGAAUAUUGCACAAUGGGGGAAACCCUGAUGCAGCGACGCCGCGUGAAGGAAGACGUAUUUCGGUAUGUAAACUUCUAUCAGCAAGGAAGAUGAUGACGGUACUUGACUAAGAAGCCCCGGCUAACUACGUGCCAGCAGCCGCGGUAAUACGUAGGGGGCAAGCGUUAUCCGGAUUUACUGGGUGUAAAGGGAGCGUAGGCGGCCAUGCAAGUCAGAAGUGAAAGCCCGGGGCUCAACUCCGGGACUGCUUUUGAAACUGUAAGGCUAGAUUGCCGGAGAGGUAAGCGGAAUUCCUAGUGUAGCGGUGAAAUGCGUAGAUAUUAGGAGGAACACCAGUGGCGAAGGCGGCUUACUGGACGGUGAAUGACGCUGAGGCUCGAAAGCGUGGGGAGCGAACAG
rnacentral:rRNA from 1 species